CUAGUANANCAUUAUACCGCGAAACUGCGAAUGGCUCAUUAUAUAAGUUAUCGUUUAUUUGAUAAUACUUUACUACUUGGAUAACCGUGGUAAUUCUAGAGCUAAUACAUGCUNAAAAUCCCGACUUCGGAAGGNNUGUAUUUAUUAGAUUAAAAACCAAUGCCCCUCGGGGCUCUCUGGUGAAUCAUGAUAACUAGUCGAAUCGACAGGCCUUGUGCCGGCGAUGGCUCAUUCAAAUUUCUUCCCUAUCAACUUUCGAUGUUUGNGUNUUGUCCAAACAUGGUGG
rnacentral:rRNA from 1 species